ACAAAGCAGCACAGAAAACAGAUGGAUUCAUUUUGAGUUUUAUCCUUUUUCAGUCAAGAGAUGCUAAUGAGGCCACUUCACUUUGCACCGUGACCCUGGCACGGCGUGUGCCAGCACCAGUGAGGGGAUGGACUGGAGCAGCUGCCUUCCCCAGGGCCAAGCCAUCACUGCCAAAACUACAGAAAAACCCAGAGCUUCCUGCUGAAUAGUGGCUGAAGAGACCAAGCACCAUCCCAGCCAUGUCACCCCAGGCAUUGUGAAAACUACUUCAGGUCUUUGGUCCUGUUCUGGGGAGCUCACAUGGGACCCAGGGGUAAUGCCAGCUCUGGUGGGAUCUGUGCUGGGACACCUGGAGCUGCAAUGUGUCUCACAGCUUGGAAAAAGUGCUCUGUAGCUACAUGAAAGGGACUGUGCCUAAGCCUGGAAUCACUGACAUCUGUGUAUCAUUUCAGUGGUAAAUUACAGCUGGGACAUGCUAACCCCAAAGU